rnacentral:tRNA from 1 species
GCCGGGAAGGCGGAAUUGGUAUACGCGCGGGACUCGAGAUCCCGCGACUGUGGAGUCAUGGAGGUUCGAUUCCCCCUCCCGGCACUA